rnacentral:rRNA from 1 species
UACGGAGGGGGCGAGCGUUGUCCGGAUUUACUGGGUGUAAAGGGAGCGCAGGCGGUGCGGCAAGUCUGAUGUGAAAGCCCGGGGCUCAACCCCGGUACUGCAUUGGAAACUGUUAAACUGGAGUGCAGGAGAGGCAGGCGGAAUUCCUAGUGUAGCGGUGAAAUGCGUAGAUAUUAGGAGGAACACCAGUGGCGAAGGCGGCCUGCUAAGCUGCAACUGACAUUGAGGCUCGAAAGUGUGGGUAUCAAACAGG